ACGGUACUGCAAAGCGAGCCGUGCGGGCAAAAUGGCACGUGCAUUUAUUCUGGAAAACCAAAAUAUUGUUUAGAACUAUCUUUCGUUAGAUAAGACGGGUGGCGAUAGCAAGGUGUUAUCGCCGAUGGUGGUCUCACACGUGCUGUUUCCCUCUUUACUGCGAGGGAACCUGAAGCUUAUAUAACCCGCAGCGCUACCAAGGCAGACAGGAGAGCCAUCCUGGAGGCUAGCGCAAGCAACAUCAACGGACGGGUUCCUUCGGCAUACGGCAGAUUACGGCAGUGGUCUACUAGAGGAAACUACGAUUCAUGCCUGCCAAGAGGAAUUCCACCUCCCUCGACAGUGCCGUGAACGAACCUGCGGCACAGGGCCUGCUACAGCAGCUGUCUUCCACUCCGUAUGCUUCCCCAAAUAGCUCGGCAGCGCAUACAGUCCUCGGACACCCGCUGCGCAGGAAGUUGACGGUGGCGACGCUUUCCAGCCACCCGUGGUCGGAAGACUUCAUAGACUGGGAACGGCCAUCCAAGUCACCGAAGAUAUCUUCCUGCGUAGGGUGCUGUCCGCCGAUACAGACUGCCUUUCCGGUGAUAUUUUGCACUUGCCAAACCUUCGAAAAGGUGCGAGUGUAGUGAUAGCAAGGAGUUAUCGCUUAAAGCCCCCCCCCCCCCCCCGAAAUCUUAAACAUAGUGUCGCUUUUCUACUGCGAGGGAACCUGAAGCGUGUCCAAUCAGUAGCGCUACAUGCGCGGAAAAAGAAACAUCUUGACGAGUGUUGCUGCAGAGGACAUAUCACGACGCACUGGUUUUCUACAGGGAACUGUGGUUUAUGCAAAUAAACAUACUCCUGUUCGUUA